ensembl:ncRNA C48A7.6 ncRNA
UGUGGAUAAUUGGAAAAAGAUGUGAAAUCGGUCAAUGGUCGGUUUCAAAUUUCAGUUUCUUCUCCUUCUCUCAAGAAGUCGCGCGACUGAGCUGGCAUAGAGGAAAGAGCUUCUUUCCUUUUUCGCAAAACCCAUGAAUAC